CAAACAGAUCGCGUUUACUUAUCUCUUGUCAUCAGCGUCUCGAAUCUCUCGACUGUCAAGACACUUUGCCACACACACUCCGAGAGAGAGAGAGAGGGAAAAGCAGCGACGUGAACGAGCAGCCUGGGCGCCUGGCAUCGUUUGCAAUAACGUGUCGUAUCUUUUUUUUUAAAAAAAACACUACCCAAGAUGUGUGAAUGGUUAUUCAUUGCGGUAAUGAUGAUACGUUUCCUGAUCAUCCCAACAAGAAGUGUGAUCAUCAUCAACGAGAAUCAACCCUGCCAACGCCCAGUGGAAUGAUGAAAAGAUGGAACAGUGACAAAUUAAUUUAAUGUUUAAAUCUCACAAUUGUGGAUUGGAUUCAUCCAGGUCAAUAUUGUGGGUAUGAAAAGGGAAUCAAAUCAGAAUGUGAACGUAUGGAUGAGUCAGAAAAGCAGAGAUCAAAAUUCAGAAGGAUCAGCGAAGAGAGAACUGACUUAAAAGGAGCUGUCCUUCCUGGAUCUGGAUAGUGGAGAAGAGAAGAACUCUCAGACCCUCUAGACAGCAGGGUAGGUGAAGACCAGAAACUCUGACGGAGAAGUAAAAGUACUGUCUGUUGACCUGCUAUGGUAUGAGAAGCAAAAUAUUUGGAGAACUGAAACAUGUACUGUUUGUGUUGCUGUGCAAAUUGUUGCCCAGCUUGUAAGGUUUGAUUGCCUUCACAUAUGCCACUAAUCUUUUGAAGAAAUUGUUUUAAACUAGUCAGUUGAUAAAUCAUGUCAGUCCCGAGUUAAUACAGUUAGCAUAUUGGAUAGGAGACAUAGCUCAACUGUCUGGUGUUCCUCCUUCUAUCUUUGCCCUUUUGUACUUGGUGUUGUCCCUUUUCCCUGCAGGUCGAAGGUGAGUAUAGGUCUCCAGAACAUAUUCUGUUCUAUCCUUUGUCAGCUGUCAUCCUUCAUUUCACAGUGGACUCUUCUCUCACAUCCACUGUCAUAGGACUUGAAGUACUAAGAAAGAGAGACUUUUCAUCCAUGUAGACUCCUCAUCUGCUUCGACAUCUGUUGGCAAGGAACAAGUUAAUCCAUGACUGCCCUUAUGAUUCCUUCCAAGUUAACAACCCUUCACUUCUUCCCUGUGUAAUAACAGUAUGCACAUCACUUACACAAACUCACCUAUGUGUUCAAUCAAUCUCUUCCUGAACUGGACCCAAUCUCUUUCCUACACCCCACAGAUGCCUAUCUUCACUAAAAUCUCUGUCCAGGUUCCCCUGGUUAGACAGGUGGGUCCCUUCCUUCUGUCAGCUUGCAUCAAGAAUUUCCAUUGUCCUCAGACUGCCCAGAGGAAGAAAAGCAAGAAGGCAUUGCUAAACUGUGAAGCUAUGUUCUGUAUGUUCUGAUAGUGUAGUUGGUCCAAUUUUUCACAGUGGUCAUUGUGGUUUUGAAGGUGCCAGAUGCUGAUGUUGACUCUUGAGUUUUCAGAUCUAUACUCCGAGAUGCCCUGAAAGAUGAAGUGUGCAUAUGAACCUAUGGAUUCAGAGUAUGCAUAGUCCAUUCAGCCCUUGAGCUUGCUCUGCCAUUUAAUAAAAAUGGCUGAAAUGGCUGUGGCCACACCUCCUACCCUUGAUCAUCUUUGACUCUCUUGUUAGUCAAGUAUUUGUCUAAUUUAAUGAUUUAAUGUUCUACUGCUAUUGUUCCCUGGGGUGGAGAAUUCCAAAAUCAUGCCAUGCUCUUCUCAUUUCCAUCUUCAUUUGGUGACCUUUUAUUCCUCAACUACUUCUCCCACAAGAUGAAAAUAUUUGUUUAGCAUCCAACAUUGUGCUGCCAUGAGAUUCUUCUUUCCUUCUCUAAUUCACUGUCUGUGAAGAUUGUAAAGAGGCUUUUAAACUUUAGAAGGUAUCCAGUUAAUUCCA